UACAGAGGUCUCAAGCGUUGUUCGGAUUCAUUGGGCGUAAAGCGUGCGCAGGCGGUUUCUUAAGUCAGAUGUGAAAGCCCCGGGCUUAACCUGGGAACUGCGUUUGAAACUGGGAGACUGGAGUGUGGCAGAGGGGGGUGGAAUUCCACGUGUAGCAGUGAAAUGCGUAGAUAUGUGGAGGAACACCGAUGGCGAAGGCAGCCCCCUGGGUUAACACUGACGCUCAUGCACGAAAGCGUGGGGAGCAAACAGG
rnacentral:rRNA from 1 species